UACGAAGGGGGCUAGCGUUGCUCGGAAUUACUGGGCGUAAAGCGCACGUAGGCGGUCUUUUAAGUCGGGGUGAAAUCCUGGAGCUCAACUCCAGAACUGCCUUCGAUACUGAAAGACUUGAGUCCGGGAGAGGUGAGUGGAACUGCGAGUGUAGAGGUGAAAUUCGUAGAUAUUCGCAAGAACACCAGUGGCGAAGGGCGGACUC
rnacentral:rRNA from 1 species